rnacentral:rRNA from 1 species
UGGGGAAUUUUGGACAAUGGGGGAAACCCUGAUCCAGCCAUCCCGCGUGUGCGAUGAAGGCCUUCGGGUUGUAAAGCACUUUUGGCAGGAAAGAAACGUCGCGGGUUAAUACCCCGCGAAACUGACGGUACCUGCAGAAUAAGCACCGGCUAACUACGUGCCAGCAGCCGCGGUAAUACGUAGGGUGCAAGCGUUAAUCGGAAUUACUGGGCGUAAAGCGUGCGCAGGCGGUUCGGAAAGAAAGAUGUGAAAUCCCAGAGCUUAACUUUGGAACUGCAUUUUUAACUACCGGGCUAGAGUGUGUCAGAGGGAGGUGGAAUUCCGCGUGUAGCAGUGAAAUGCGUAGAUAUGCGGAGGAACACCGAUGGCGAAGGCAGCCUCCUGGGAUAACACUGACGCUCAUGCACGAAAGCGUGGGGAGCAAACAGGAUUAGAUACCCUGGUAGUCCACGCCCUAAACGAUGUCAACUAGCUGUUGGGGCCUUCGGGCCUUGGUAGCGCAGCUAACGCGUGAAGUUGACCGCCUGGGGAGUACGGUCGCAAGAUUAAAAACUUAAAGGAAUUG